rnacentral:rRNA from 1 species
UACGUAGGGGGCAAGCGUUGUCCGGAAUUAUUGGGCGUAAAGAGCGCGUAGGCGGUCCGAUAAGUCGGCUGUGAAAGUCAGGGGCUCAACCCCUGAAUGCCGGCCGAUACUGUCGGGCUAGAGUCCGGAAGAGGCGAGUGGAAUUCCCGGUGUAGCGGUGAAAUGCGCAGAUAUCGGGAGGAACACCAAUGGCGAAGGCGGCCUUCUGGACCAAUACUGACGCUCAUGCACGAAAGCGUGGGGAGCAAACAGG